rnacentral:lncRNA from 1 species
UAAUAUUAAUAUAAAUUAAUCUAACUAAAGAAAAUGCCAAUUAAAAAUAAAAGGGGGGUUUAUGAAUUUUUAACUAAAUAGUAAGAAAUAAAGAAAUUAAAAUUACGAACAAGAAUUUAAUAAAAACUCUAAUUAAAGGAGAAAGAAAUAAUAAUGAUGAAAACUUUGGUUAAAGGAUCAUUCGCCACCACCAAACAUGCACAUAAUAUAUUAAUUCUAUCAUCAAUUUAUAUUGAAACUAUCAACCGUAGACAACAAUAAGCUCUGUUAGUCUCAAUCUUUCCUUAGUGUGUCGUUAGGCAAAAUAAGCUCUUCACCUAAUCUCUAACCAUUAAAUAAUUUAAAACAAGCUCUUUAAAUUUAAGAUAAUGGAAGCAUUAAACAAAGAAAGAUAUUAGGUUGAUCUAGGCAAUAAACACACAAGCUCGGAUUAUUUAACCUAGGUUAUGUUCUCCAAUUGAAAUCACUGAUUCCAACCUGCUACUAAUGAUUAAAAUAUCAAGACAAUUACGGAUCAAGAAUUUUAAUCUAGCAAUAGAAUUUAUUCAAGUCCUAUCUAAUUGGCCACUCAAAUAAAACAAGAAUAAACCAUGAACAUUAAUUAUAGAAGAACAUAAACAAUCUCAAUUAAAUAAAUUGAAUGAUAGAAUUUAAAUUUAAUUGCAUAGCAUGUUUAGGGUUUUGAAUUCACCCUCAACCAAAUAAAAAUUUAGCCUAACAUAAUUGAAUUGGGAAUAAGAAAAUUGAUAAAACCAGUCAUGAAAAUUAAUUCAAGCGGCUGCCUUUUUCUUCAAUUGAAUUCCGGCUGCUGAUUUUUUUCUUCUUCUUGCCGAAUUGAAUCAGCCCCUGCUCUCUCUCCUCUCUUGUUGCCCCCAAAUUCUUCUUUUUCUUUAUUGCUUCCGCUUGAUCCUAUUUAUAAUGCUUCAAUUGUGGCUUUGUUUAAAUCCUUGCCUGGAGAGAAUUAAAUUCCAAGCUCAAAACCGCCACCUCAUGCUUCAAUUAAUAAGCCAAUAAUGAUUUCCUAAAGACAAAAGGCUUUAUUCUCUUUCCUUUCACGUGUCCACUUUUGGUUUGCAAUCUUUGUUUUCCAAUUUUGCUUUCAAGUGAUGGCUUGGCUUGUUAAUUGGCUUGGCUUCCUUUUUCUUCAAUUCCUUUUCGGUUUCUCCCUUGCUUUUCCUUCUUCCGGCUGCUAGUUCCUCAAAAUCAAAAGCCAAAAGUUGGCUUUUAUACUGCCCAAGAUUGGCCGUAUUUUAAAGCAAUUAAUUUGUUUCCUUUAAUUCCAUGCACAUGCCAUUUCAAUUCUUUAUUUCCAAUGCUUUGUCCACCACUUGUUUAGGCAAUUCACGUGCAUGAAAUAUGGCCAUUUCCUUUUUCUUCUUUGUUCAAUUUGCUUCCCAUAUUAACCAAUGAGCAAGCCAAAGCCACUUUAAUGCUUGCACAUGUUAUUACCCUUUAAGAUUCUUGAUUCCAAUUAAAUGAAGCCGCCAAAUUGAAUUAAAUUCAAUUCCCUCUUUAAUCUCC